GACGAACGCUGGCGGCGUGCCUAAUACAUGCAAGUCGAACGCAGUGGGGACGGGUGAGUAACACGUGGGUAACCUCCCCUCAGAGGGGAUAACACUUGGCAACAGGUGCUAAACCGAUACUGAUGGAUGGACCCGCGGUGCAUUAGCUAGUCGGUGAGGUAACGGCUCACCAAGGCCACGAUGCAUAGCCGGUCUGGGAGGGUGACCGGCCACACUGGGACUGAGACACGGCCCAGACUCCUACGGGAGGCAGCAGUAGGGAAUCUUCGACAAUGGACGAAAGUCUGACCGAGCAACGCCGCGUGAGUGAAGAAGGUUUUCGGAUCGUAAAGCACUGUUGGUAGAGAAGCGGUAUCUAACCAGAAAGCACCGGCUAACUACGUGCCAGCAGCCGCGGUAAUUC
rnacentral:rRNA from 1 species